rnacentral:rRNA from 1 species
AAACACGGUCUCAGUUCAGAUUGCAGGCUGCAACUCGCCUGCAUGAAGUUGGAAUUGCUAGUAAUCGCGAAUCAGAAUGUCGCGGUGAAUACGUUCCCGGGCCUUGUACACACCGCCCGUCACACCAUGAGAGUCGAUAACACCCGAAGCCUGUGAGCUAACCUUUUAGGAGGCGGCAGUCGAAGGUGGGGUUGAUGAUUGGGAUGAAGUCGUAACAAGGUACC